CCUACGGGAGGCAGCAGUGGGGAAUUUUGCGCAAUGCUCGUAAGAGUGACGCAGCGACGCCGCGUGAAUGACGAAGGCCUUCGGGUCGUAAAGUUCUUUCGACAGGGAAGAAAAUGCCUAUAAGUAACUGUGUAUGUAUUGACGGUACCUGUAUAAGCAGCCCCGGCUAACUCCGGGCCAGCAGCCGCGGUAAUACGGAGGGGGCGAGCGUUGUUCGGAGGGACUGGGCGUAAAGAGCACGUAGGCGGUGUUGUAAGUCAUUAGUCAAAGACUAGAGCUCAACUUUAGUAAGGCUAGUGAUACUAUAAUACUAGAGUAUCAGAGAGGAUUGCAGAAUUCCUGGUGUAGCGGUGAAAUGCGUAGAUAUCAGGAGGAAUACCGUUAGCGAAGGCGGCAAUCUGGCUGGAAACUGACGCUGAGGUGCGAAAGCGUGGGUAGCAAACAGGAUUAGAUACCCCUGUAGUC
rnacentral:rRNA from 1 species